rnacentral:rRNA from 1 species
GGAGCAACSCCGCGUGAGUGAUGAAGGCUUUCGGGUCGUAAAACUCUGUUGUUAGGGAAGAACAAGUGCUAGUUGAAUAAGCUGGCMCCUUGACGGUACCUAACCARAAAGCCACGGCUAACUACGUGCCAGCAGCCGCGGUAAUACGUAGGUGGCAAGCGUUAUCCGGAAUUAUUGGGCGUAAAGCGCGCGCAGGUG